rnacentral:sRNA from 1 species
CCCAACGCUGAAGCGUUGGGCUAUUUUCAAAUGUCCCUCCGGGACA